rnacentral:rRNA from 1 species
CUGAGUUGAUCCUGCUGGAAGCAUAUGCUUGUCUCAAAGACUGAGCCAUACACACAUAAGUGCACACUGUCAGUACAUCGACACUGCAAAUGGCUCAUUGAAUUAGCUAUGGUCCCUUUGACCGCUCCAUCUGUUACUUGGAUAACCGUGGUCAUUCUAGAAAGGAUAUGUGGCAACAAAUGCUGACCUCCCAGGAUGCCUGCAUUUAUCACACCAAGACCAAUCCUGGCUCACCCGGUUUCUUUCAUGAUUUAGCCAAGCUUGUGCAGAGAGCACGUCCCUGUGACGGCGACAAUACAUUCGAAUAUCUGCCCUAUAAACUUCCAUAGGUACUUUCUGUGCCUACCAUGAUGACCAUGGGUAAUGGGGAAUCAGGCUUUGCCUCCAGAGAGGGAUAAAGUUAAACUGCUACCAAAUCCAAGGAAUGCAGCAGGUGUGCAAAUUAACCACUUCCAACUCGUAGAGGUAGUGAUGGAAAACAACAAUAAAGGACUCUUUCGAGGCCCUGUGAUUUGAAUGUGUACACUUUAAAUGCAUUAACUUGUAUUCCUUGGAGGGCAAUUCUGGUGCCAGCAGCCACUGUAAUUCCAGCUCAAAUGCUGUAUAUUAAAGUUGCUGCAGUUGAUAAGCUUGUAGUUGGAUCUUGGGAUCGAGCUGGUGUGAUGGUGCAAGACAUGUUAACGUCUGUCCUAGCCUCUGACUCUCAGCGACCGUUCAUGCUUUUGACUUUGUGUACUGGUGGUCAGCAGCAUUUACUAUGGGAAUAUCAGAGUGUUUUAAGCAGGCCGUUCACCUGAGUACUUCACUGAGGAAUGUUGGAUGGACUCCAGUUCUAUUUAGUUUGUUAUUGGGACUGGGGACAUGAUUCAGCGGGACGGCCGGGGUCAUUUGUAUUGUGCUGGUGGAGGUGAAAUUCUUGGACUGUCGUACUUCCGAUCAUACACAAUGCUAACUAACGUUCCGGCAGAGUUAGUCCCAUAACCUACCCAUCAGCUUCCGGGAAUCCAAGUCUUUGAGUAUAGUUGCAAAGCUUAAAUUUAAAGGACUUAAUAAAAGGGCCCCACUAGCAGUGGAGCAUGUGGCUUAAUUUGACUCAACAUGGGAAACCUCACCCGGCCCGGACACAGAUAGGAUUGACAUUGAUGACUCUUUUGCUAGGCUGUUGGUGAUGGUGCAUGGACGUUCUCAGUUGGUGGAGCUGAGAACCAGAGCUGUCUGCUUAAUUCCGAUGACGAAUGAUCAUCCUUCAUGUUUACUAGUAACGCAACCCCCAGCAGUUGGCAUUCAACUUCUUAGUGGGACAAGUGUCCUUCUGCCACUCGAGAUCAUGCAAUAACAGCGCUGUGAUGCCUUUAGGUUUCUAGGGCUGCAUGUGAACUACUACACUGAAGGGAUCCACAUGUGCCUAUCCAUCUCCAACAGGUGUGGGUAUUCCUCUGCAACCCUUUUGUGAGAUGGAUUGUGGAUUGCAAUAAUUUCCCAUGAACAGGAACUUCCAGUAAGUACGGUCCAUAUGCGCACAUUGAUUAAUUCCCUCAAAUUUUACACACCGCUGAUUGCUACUAAGGAUUGGAUGUUUCAGUGAGGUCUUGGAUCAGACCCCCCAGGGUUGGCAACGGCUCUGGUAGAGCACCAAGAAAAUGAUCAACUUGACUAUCUAGAGGAACUAAAUGUCGUACCAAGGUUUCUGUAGGUGAACCUGCAGAAG